UGGGGAAUCUUGGACAAUGGGGGCAACCCUGAUCCAGCCAUGCCGCGUGAGUGAUGAAGGCCUUAGGGUCGUAAAGCUCUUUCGCCUGUGAAGAUAAUGACGGUAGCAGGUAAAGAAACCCCGGCUAACUCCGUGCCAGCAGCCGCGGUAAUACGGAGGGGGUUAGCGUUGUUCGGAAUUACUGGGCGUAAAGCGCACGUAGGCGGACCAGAAAGUUGGGGGUGAAAUCCCGGGGGCUCAACCCCGGAACUGCCUCCAAAACUAUUGGUCUAGAGUUCGAGAGAGGUGAGUGGAAUUCCAAGUGUAGAGGUGAAAUUCGUAGAUAUUUGGAGGAACACCAGUGGCGAAGGCGGCUCACUGGCUCGAUACUGACGCUGAGGUGCGAAAGUGUGGGGAGCAAACAGGAUUAGAUACCCCUGGUAGUCCACACCGUAAAACGGUGGGGCGCUAGGUGUGGGGAUCGUUUCCACGAUCUCCGUGCCGUAGCUAACGCAUUAAGCGCCCCGCCUGGGGGAGUAC
rnacentral:rRNA from 1 species